rnacentral:rRNA from 1 species
UGUGUAGGCGGUUGUUUAAGUUUGGUGUGAAAUCUCCCGGCUCAACCGGGAGGGUGCGCCGAAUACUGAGCGACUAGAGUGCGGGAGAGGAGAGUGGAAUUCCUGGUGUAGCGGUGAAAUGCGUAGAUAUCAGGAGGAACACCGGCGGUGUAGACGGCUCUCUGGACCGCGACUGACGCUGAGACACGAAAGCGUGGGUAGCAAACAGGAUUAGAUACCCUGGUAGUCCACGCCCUAAACGAUGCAUAUUUGGUGUGGGCAGUUCAUUCUGUCCGUGCCGGAGCUAACGCGUUAAAUAUGCCGCCUGGGGAGUACAGUCGCAAGGCUGAA